UACGUAGGGUGCAAGCGUUGUCCGGAAUUAUUGGGCGUAAAGAGCUCGUAGGCGGUCUGUCGCGUCUGCUGUGAAAACUCAGGGCUUAACCCUGAGCUUGCAGUGGGUACGGGCAGACUAGAGUGCGGUAGGGGAGACUGGAAUUCCUGGUGUAGCGGUGAAAUGCGCAGAUAUCGAGGAGGAACACCGGUGGCGAAGGCGGGUCUC
rnacentral:rRNA from 1 species